AUAUUUCUGAGAAUUUCUUGAUGACUCUCUUAACUUAAGCAUAUCAAUAAGAGA
rnacentral:rRNA from 1 species